rnacentral:rRNA from 1 species
AUUGAACGCUGGCGGCAGGCCUAACACAUGCAAGUCGAGCGGAUGAAGGGAGCUUGCUCCUGGAUUCAGCAGCGGACGGGUGAGUAAUGCCUAGGAAUCUGCCUGGUAGUGGGGGAUAACGUCCGGAAACGGGCGCUAAUACCGCAUACGUCCUGAGGGAGAAAGUGGGGGAUCUUCGGACCUCACGCUAUCAGAUGAGCCUAGGUCGGAUUAGCUAGUUGGUGGGGUAACGGCCUACCAAGGCGACGAUCCGUAACUGGUCUGAGAGGAUGAUCAGUCACACUGGAACUGAGACACGGUCCAGACUCCUACGGGAGGCAGCAGUGGGGAAUAUUGGACAAUGGGCGAAAGCCUGAUCCAGCCAUGCCGCGUGUGUGAAGAAGGUCUUCGGAUUGUAAAGCACUUUAAGUUGGGAGGAAGGGCAGUAAGUUAAUACCUUGCUGUUUUGACGUUACCAACAGAAUAAGCACCGGCUAACUUCGUG